UCCGUUGUAGUCUAGCUGGUCAGGAUACUCGGCUCUCACCCGAGAGACCCGGGUUCGAGACCCGGGUUCGAGUCCCGGCAACAGAG
rfam:Brassica rapa chromosome A3, whole genome shotgun sequence.